rnacentral:rRNA from 1 species
AACGAACGCUGGCGGCAUGCCUAACACAUGCAAGUCGAACGCCCCGCAAGGGGAGUGGCGAACGGGUGAGUAACGCGUGGGAACCUACCCAGCAGUUGGGGAUAACCGCGGGAAACUGCGGCUAAUACCGAAUACGUCCUAAGGGAGAAAGAUUUACCGCUGUUGGAGGGGCCCGCGUCGGAUUAGCUAGUUGGUGAGGUAACGGCUCACCAAGGCGACGAUCCGUAGCUGGUCUGAGAGGAUGAUCAGCCACACUGGGACUUAGACACGGCCCAGACUCCUACGGGAGGCAGCAGUGGGGAAUAUUGGACAAUGGGGGCAACCCUGAUCCAGCAAUGCCGCGUGAGUGAUGAAGGCCUUAGGGUUGUAAAGCUCUUUUACCGGGGACGAUGAUGACGGUACCCGGAGAAUAAGCCCCGGCUAACUUCGUGCCAGCCGCCGCCGUAAAAC